rnacentral:rRNA from 1 species
AUUGAACGCUGGCGGCAGGCUUAACACAUGCAAGUCGAGCGAGCGGCGGACGGGUGAGUAAUGUAUGGGAAACUGCCUGAUGGAGGGGGAUAACUACUGGAAACGGUGGCUAAUACCGCAUACUAUCAGAUGAGCCCAUAUGGGAUUAGCUAGUAGGUGGGGUAAUGGCUCACCUAGGCGACGAUCCCUAGCUGGUCUGAGAGGAUGAACAGCCACACUGGGACUGAGACACGGUCCAGACUCCUACGGGAGGCAGCAGUGGGGAAUAUUGCACAAUGGGCGCAAGCCUGAUGCAGCCAUGCCGCGUGUAUGAAGAAGGCCUUCGGGUUGUAAAGUACUUUCAGCGGGGAGGCGUUACCCGCAGAAGAAGCACCGGCUAACUCCGUGCCAACAGCCGCGGUAAUUC